GACGAACGCUGGCGGCGUGCUUAACACAUGCAAGUCGAACGAAGUGGCGAACGGGUGAGUAACGCGUAAGCAACUUGCCCUUCAGAGGGGGACAACAGUUGGAAACGACUGCUAAUACCGCAUACUGAAGGAGGGGAAUGCGUGGGAUUGGCUAUUUGGAGGGGGAACGGCCCACCAAGGCGAUGAGCAGUAUCCGGUCUGAGAGGAUGAACGGCCCAAAUGGGACUGAGACACGGCCCAGACUCCUACGGGAGGCAGCAGUGGGGAUUCUUCCGCAAUGGACGAAAGUCUGACGGAGCAACGCCGCGUGAGUGAUGACGGCCUUCGGGUUGUAAAGCUCUGUUAAUCGGGACGCGGUACCGGAAUAGAAAGCCACGGCUAACUACGUGCCAGCAGCCGCGGUAAUUC
rnacentral:rRNA from 1 species